AGUCUGGUGCCAGCAGCCGCGGUAAUACGGGGGAUGCAAGCGUUAUCCGGAAUCAUUGGGCGUAAAGCGCCUGUAGGUUGUUUAAUAAGUCUGUUGUUAAAGACUAGGGCUCAACCCUAGAAAAGCAAUGGAAACUACUAGACUAGAGUAUGGCAGGGGUAGAGGGAAUUUCUAGUGUAGCGGUGAAAUGCGUAGAUAUUAGAAAGAACACCGGUGGCGAAAGCGCUCUACUGGACCAUUACUGACACUCAGAGGCGAAAGCUAGGGUAGCAAAAGGGAUUAGAUACCCCUGUAGUCCUAGCCGUAAACGAUGGAUACUAGAUGUUGUGCGUAGUGUACAGUGUCCUAGCUAACGCGUUAAGUAUCCCGCCUGGGGAGUACGCUCGCAAGGGUGAAACUCAAAGGAAUUGACGGGGGCCCGCACAAGCGGUGGAGCAUGUGGUUUAAUUCGAUGCAACGCGAAGAACCUUACCAGGGCUUGACAUACUACAAAUUCUUUAGAGAUAAAGAAGUGCCUUCGGGAAUGUAGAUACAGGUGGUGCAUGGCCGUUCUUA
rnacentral:rRNA from 1 species